AAGGACUCCUUUCAGGAAUCAUUUCUUUAGUUCCUACUAGAAAAGCGUCUCUUAACAUGUGGCGUACCGGAAGCCACAAAGAGGAGGUGCAGCAUUCUGUCCUAAGUGUGAAGUGGACUCUUGGUGUUGCUGUGCUGCAAUUGCCAUUUGCUAAUGAUGACCUUGCUUUUCUUACUUAGAGUAAGACAGACAGAAGGCAGUCAGCCUGAGC
ensembl:snoRNA U3 Small nucleolar RNA U3